AUCUUCAUGCUUGGAUCAAAAUGUUAACAAAAUCUCUCACAGGCAUUUUCACAAAUACAUAAAAUCCACCCCAGCUAGAACUAAGCAAACAACCCAAAAAAUCCACAAAAUCUUUGCAGCUAUCUUCACCUCCUUCUGCCUGUCUCAUUCUCCUUCCCUGUUUGAUAGGAUAACGUUGAAAAAUGAUGCACCUAUUUCCAAGAUUUAAGCUGCCCUAGAUAUGUUUUUGAUUAAUUGAAGUUCUAAAUCCCCUGAAAGAUUGUAAUGUACAAUCUUGCUCACAUAUAUAGCUUGACGGACUGGAUCUAACAUUACAAGAUCGUAUAGAGGUUGAAAGAUGUACAGUGAUGCAACAUUUGACAGGUAUUAAUGCCUCAAAUUUUUUGCUUUGGGCCAAAUAUCGAUAAUUUCGGAUGAAAAAGAAAGCAAUGAACGAGAUGGUGAGACAAAUUCACCUGCUGAAGUUGGGCAGACAUGAGAGAUGAAGAUGAUCCAUGCACCGAGCCUCCUCCAAUGAGGAUGGGAACAGAUGAAUCACACGGUCCAUAGGUGGGGUCAUGGACUGGAUUCACCCAAGUUUUUGCCUUGGCCUAUUUCCGGCUUUGUUAAUUUGUAUGUUUUAACGGAAGUUUGUUAC
rnacentral:lncRNA from 1 species